rnacentral:rRNA from 1 species
UACGUAGGGUGCAAGCGUUGUCCGGAAUUAUUAGGCGUAAAGAGCUUGUAGGCGGUUUGUCGCGUCUGCUGUGAAAUUUCGGGGCUCAACCCCGAACUUGCAGUGGGUACGGGCAGACUAGAGUGUGGUAGGGGAGACUGGAAUUCCUGGUGUAGCGGUGAAAUGCGCAGAUAUCAGGAGGAACACCGAUGGCGAAGGCAGGUCUCUGGGCCAUAACUGACGCUGAGAAGCGAAAGCAUGGGGAGCGAACAGG